AUUGGAGACAGCUGUGUCUUGACGAGGGGGCGGGGUCAGCUCUCCAAUUAGCCCUGGAGUCGACCAAUCAGCUGCUUGAGGGAUUUCAGGAAGCCAUUUCCUGAAAUAAACACAUGCAAAUACACAAUCUACAACACAUAAUCUGGGGAACGUAACAGUUAGCAGUGUGGUUAAGGUUAGGGUUGGGCAUUAGGGUUAGCAGUGUGGUUAAGGUUAGGCAUUAGGGUUAGCAGUGUGGUUAGGGUUAGGGUUAGGCAUUAGGGUUAGCAGUGUGGUUAAGGUUAGGCAUUAGGGGUAGCAGUGUGGUUAAGGUUAGGGUUAGCAGUGUGGUUAAGUUAGGGUUAGGCAUUAGGGUUAGCAGUGUGGUUAAGGUUAGGCAUUAGGGUUAGCAGUGUGGUUAAGGUUAGGGUUAGCAGUGUGGUUAAGGUUAGGCAUUAGGGGUAGCAGUGUGGUUAAGGUUAGGGUUAGCAGUGUGGUUAAGUUAGGGUUAGGCAUUAGGGUUAGCAGUGUGGUUAAGGUUAGGCAUUAGGGUUAGCAGUGUGGUUAAGGUUAGGGUUAGCAUUGUGGUUAAGGUUAGGGUUAGGCAUUAGGGGUAGCAGUGUGGUUAAGGUUAGCAGUGUGGUUAAGGUUAGGCAUUAGGGGUAGCAGUGUGGUUAAGGUUAGGGUUAGGCAUUAGGGUUAGCAGUGUGGUUAAGGUUAGGCAUUAGGGGUAGCAGUGUGGUUAAGUUAGGGUUUGGUUUAAAAUCCGAUGUUAUGACUUUG
ensembl:lncRNA